rnacentral:lncRNA from 1 species
AAAGGCCUCACCCUUCUAGCCGCAAUCUGGUGGGUGGUUUGGAGGGACAGAAAUAACUCUGUGUUCCAGGCGAUACCGAUCAAUUAAUAUCAGCCGUUCUCUCGAACGGGUCAACCUCUUGAUGAGCACCUGGACCACGCUGCGCUAAUGUAACUACUAAUUUGUUUGCCUUCCUCCUUCUCUUUCUCCCCUCGCCCUCUCUUCGCUUUUUCUUCUCUUUGUCUUAAUCCUACGUUCUUUACCCCUCUUCGGAGGCCUUAGCUGUUUCCAUCAUGUAUGUUCAGUUCAUUGUACUUAAUGAAUAAAGUAGAUAGCUUACUGCCUUUUUCUCAAAAAAAAGAGUUAUAAGUAGAUGAUUUUUUUUUUUAUUUGAGAUAGAAUGAUAAUAUAUAUAUUACUGUUUCAUUUUUUU